AUUGAACGCUGGCGGCAGGCCUAACACAUGCAAGUCGAAUGGUAACAGGAAACAGCUUGCUGUUUCUCUGACGAGUGGCGGACGGGUGAGUAAUGUCUGGGAAACUGCCUGAUGGAGGGGGAUAACUACUGGAAACGGUAGCUAAUACCGCAUAACGUCGCAAGACCAAAGAGGGGGACCUUCGGGCCUCUUGCCAUCAGAUGUGCCCAGAUGGGAUUAGCUAGUAGGUGGGGUAACGGCCCACCUAGGCGACGAUCCCUAGCUGGUCUGAGAGGAUGACCAGCCACACUGGAACUGAGACACGGUCCAGACUCCUACGGGAGGCAGCAGUGGGGAAUAUUGCACAGUGGGCGCAAGCCUGAUGCAGCCAUGCCGCGUGUAUGAAGAAGGCCUUCGGGUUGUAAAGUACUUUCAGCGGGGAGGAAGGGAGUAAAGUUAAUACCUUUGCUCAUUGACGUUACCCGCAGAAGAAGCACCGGCUAACUCCGU
rnacentral:rRNA from 1 species